CAAGGUCUGGCAAAUCCUCUGUUUUCUCAGGGCCACAUGACAGUAGAAGCACAUAAAAUAUCGCAAACAACACCACUCUGAAAAGAAGGGAAUUUCAGACAGGAAAGAAUCAGGGCCAGCUAACACCUCCCAACAAAAAAUUCACUCAGGGAGGAAACAGCCAGGCUUUAAAGCUGCAAGGCCAUUACAUCCUAAUCAUUUUUCCUAAUUGCAGCAUUCAUACUUGCCUCCAACAGAAAAAAAAACCAAUCAGAAAUAUUGUAUAUUCACAACCUUUAGGAAAUAAUAUCCCCUGAUGGCGCAGCGUGUUAAAGCGCUGAGCUGCUGAACUUCUGGACUGAAAGGCCACAGGUUUGAAUUGGGGGAGCGGAGAGAGCCCUCACUGUUAGCCCCAGCUUCUGCCAAUCCAGAAGUUCAAAAACAUGCAACUAUGAGUGCAUCAAUAGGUACUGCUCCGGCGGGAAGGUAACGCCACUCCAUGCAGUCAUCCCACAUGACCUUGGAGGAGUCUACGGACAACGCCGGCUCUUCGGCUUAGAAAUGGAGAUGAGCACCAACCCCCAGAAUCAUACAUGACUGGGCUUAAUGUCAGGGGAAAACGUUUACCCUUUACCUUAACUACCACCCAAUUCCUCAAUACUUUAUAUCCUAUACCACCAUACUUCGCCACAGCAACGCGUGGUCGGGCACAGCUAGUCUAUAUAUAUAAAAGGAUAAAGUUGCGGGCGCAGUGACUAUAACAACAAAACUAAACAUCCCAGAAAUACGAAAUUUGGCAACACAAUGCAAAAGGCUUGCCUCCAGGUUACAACAACACAACCCACACCACAAAACCACAAUCCAGACCCACAACACUCACAACAACGCAUCAUGCGAUAACAACACAACUAAACGCCCCCAGAAAUACAAAACUUGGCAACACAAUGAAAAAGCCUUGCCUCCCAGUUGUAACAACACAACCACACCACAAAACCACACAGGACCCACAAAACUCACAACAACGCAUCGUGACUAUAACAACACAACUAAACGCCCCAGAAAUACGAAACUUGGCGACACAACGCAAAAGCCUUCCCUCCAGGUUGUAACAACACAACCACACCACAAAACCACAAUCCGGACCCACAAAACUUGGCAAAACAAUGCAAAAGCCUUGCCUCCCGGUUGUAACAACACAACCACACCACAAAACCACACCGGACCCACAAAACUCACAACAACGCAUCAUGACUAUAACAACACAACUAAACGCCCCAGAAAUACAAAAUUUGACAACACAACUCAUCCACCUCCCCAAUCCCUACAUUCACACUUGGCCUCCAAAAAAACAAUUACAAUAAUAACAAUAACAACAACAGUAAGAAUCAACACCAUCACAGGCAAGAAACAGCCAGGCACUGAGGCUGAGAGGCCAGUCAGUGCUACAGUGGGCCUCCAAAAAACAAUACAGUAGCAUCUAACUUAUCCAACUUUCAUGACCACUACAACAACAAUAAUAAUAAACACCUACACAGGCAAAAAAAAAAAGACUAUUGUACCACAAUAAAAAUAUAAACCGCACUCAGCAGAAUCAGACAUUACAAUUAACAACAAACCAAAGACAACAGGGAUCUCAAGCAAUUAUCAAUCAACACAAAAAUUGAAGAAGGUAACAGACUUCAAAUACUACUACUAAUGUGAGCAUAAAGAAGGGUGGAGGUCACAGCAUAAAUACAACCUAAUGUAGACUGACCAACACCACCAGACUAAGCCACAGCAACGCGUGGCCGGGCACAGCUAGUGAGACUAUAUAUUUUAUGACACAUAAACCUAGAGUAUUAUGUCUCCAUUCAACAGCCUGCUGUGAAGAAUUUACAUGUCACUUAGUAGGUAAAAUGGCUCAGAUUUAUUCCAAGUUGGCUACUGUACAGUCCCAGUAGAUGUAAGCUUGAUUUCUACUUGUCCAGUGUCAUUGCAUACUUUUCAAUAUGUGCAGUCUGAGGAUGUGUUCUAGAUCCUUGGCCUCUGACUGAUGAAAUAAGCUAGAGGAGGACUGGCUGAGUUAGUGAAGGGAAGAGUCAAUGUUUCCUUAAAACAAGACAGAAUUCCCACUUGUCUAAGGGGUAGCUGUGAGGCCUAUUUUUAUAAGGCCAUCCCCAAACCCCUCUGUAAUGGACAAUUACUGGACAGUGUCCAACCUGUUUUGGAUCAAGGUAUUUGACCAUAUGGUGCCCUCCCAGUUCCAGGAGAUUCUGGAUUAAACAAAUUAUUUAAACCAUUUCUCUCUGAUUUCAGGCCUUGUUACGAGGAAGAGAAAGCUUUGGUCACCUUGCUGGAUGACCUAAGCAGAGAUCUGGGCAGAGGGAGUAUGUUCCUGUUGGUUCUCCUGGACAUCUCAGUAGC
rnacentral:lncRNA from 1 species